UCUUCUGUCUCCUACAGAGAAGAAAACUCAAGAGUGGGAAGAAGCAAGUCUCCAGGCUAAGAAAGACUCCCCUGGAAAGGCCGGCCAUGGCUCCCUUCCUGAGAGAAUGCGAUUGGACUCAGGGAUACCCAGCUCAUGGAGCAAGCUCCAGGAGUCGUGGCCUCCAGGGACAUGGGAGGACAGAGUGACGCUGCCUCAAACGAGGACACUGACAUCUUGUCUCAGGAGGAAGGGCAGGUGAGGUCCCCCUGGGAGGAUGUAACCAACUCCAUUCUUACUGAGGAGGAGGUGGCAGGGACCCCAUGCUGGGAGGUAAAGGAAGGAGUGGGGCCUCAACUGGAACAUCCCCAGCAUAGAUUUUCCUGAGGCACCAUGGACCACUGCAGAGUAGGGGGCAAUGGGACAAGGAGGCAGUGGUGGUGAGGGCUGGCUCAACCUUAAAACCAUAAGGCUAAGCUGCCAUCCCAGUGAAGCAAGGCACU
rnacentral:lncRNA from 1 species